GUCUCUCCUUCAGGGCCAGUGGGACUAAUCCACCGUGCGCGCCAGGGAACAGACAGAACUGCCGGUCUAAUCUCCUGGUGAGGAGGGCGACAGGGGAAUGAUGGGUACCAGGCACCGAGGGCUCGGACGCACUCAGGCAGGGCUACGGGGCGUUAUCGGCAGUGUGGGAAAGCAUGGAGCACCCGAGCAACUCCCAGGGAAGAAGUGAACACAACGGCAGGGACAGCGACACGACCCUCCGACCCACCCCGGAGGAACGAACUCUUCCCCGGGCGCAGUGCUGUUAGGAGGCGUGGGCGCGCCGAGCUGGAAGAAAGAAGGGACUCAAUAGUGUCGGAGCUCUUAGCCUGUUUGUCUUGGACUGGGACUGCACCGGGAGAGAAGACAGACGGACAAGACAAGACAAGACAGACAGACGUUCCACCAUGAGACGUUAGCGACGAC